GAUCAUGGCUCAGGAUGAACGCUAGCUACAGGCUUAACACAUGCAAGUCGAGGGGGCAGCAUUUUAGUUUUGCUUGCAAACUGAAGAUGGCGACCGGCGCACGGGUGAGUAACACGUAUCCAACCUGCCGAUAACUCCGGGAUAGCCUUUCGAAAGAAAGAUUAAUACCGGAUAGCAUACGAAUAUCGCAUGAUUAUUUUUAAUUAAAGUAAUUUCGGUUAUCGAUGGGGAUGCGUUCCAUUUAGG
rnacentral:rRNA from 1 species